AGUCACAUAGCUGCGUGGUACGUGACUGGAGGCAUAUCACUGUCCUCGCCUGGAUCACGCCAAUGUGGCCCCAACCCCACCUCCCUCCCCACCCCAUGAUGUCAGAAAAAACCUGACACAGAAAAUUGGCUGGGGCCAAGAGAAAGUUCACAGACUAUCGUCAGUGGAACAUUGCUGGUGUUGGUACCGGAGCAACCGACACCAAAAAGAAGAAAAUAAAUCAUGGCACUAACCCUGAGACAACCACUUCGGGGGGCUGCCACUCGCCUGAGGAUGUGAGUCUUGGCUGGCCGGUCUCCUGAGGACAAGGGGCACAAGGGGGAGGUCGAGGGUAACUGUUAAGAUUGUGGAAGGAAGAACUGCCGGGUACUGGCUAAGAAUUCUGGGUUUGAGUCCUACUUCUCUCUCCAUCUGCGAGGGACACGGUUUAGG
rnacentral:lncRNA from 10 species